UACGAAGGGGGGCUAGCGUUGCUCGGAAUUACUGGGCGUAAAGGGCGCGUAGGCGGGUCGUUUAAGUAGGGGGGUGAAAGCCCAGGGCUCAACCCUGGAAUUGCCUUCUAAACUGGCGACCUUGAGUAUGGCAGAGGUGUGUGGAACUCCGAGUGUAGAGGUGAAAUUCGUAGAUAUUCGGAAGAACACCAGUGGCGAAGGCGACACACUGGGCCAUUACUGACGCUGAGGCGCGAAAGCGUGGGGAGCAAACAGG
rnacentral:rRNA from 1 species